rnacentral:lncRNA from 1 species
UUUAAUCAAAGAUCCGAACUGCUUCAUAUUAUAUACAUGUCUCAUGGGCGAUCAACCAAUUUUUGCUUUCUUCUUAAUUAUGUCUCAUGUGCAAUCAAACCCUCUCUUUACCAUAGUAGUAUGUGUGAAAUGUAAAACCGGCUCCUUUUGUUUUCAAAGAUAAAUAUAUAAUCAACAAAGAAUUUGGAAUGAUAUGGCUAUAGUAUU